rnacentral:rRNA from 1 species
UAAGAGGUCCCGCCUGCCCUGUGACUAAUUGUUUAACGGCCGCGGUAUUUUGACCGUGCAAAGGUAGCGUAAUCACUUGUCUUUUAAAUGAAGACCCGUAUGAACGGCACGACGAAGGCCCAGCUGUCUCCUUUUUCAGGUCAAUGAAAUUGAUCUUCCCGUGCAGAAGCGGGAAUGUUAACAUAAGACGAGAAGACCCUAUGGAGCUUCAGACCCAAGGCAGCCCACGUCAAGCACCCCCCGACAAAGGGUUAAACCAAGUGAAGCUCUGCCCCAGUGUCUUUGGUUGGGGCGACCGCGGGGAAAAACUAAACCCCCAUGUAGAUAAGGAAUAGCCCUCCUACAACCAAGAGUCACCACUCUAAGCAACAGAAAUUCUGACCAAAAUGAUCCGGCAAUGCCGAUCCACGGACCGAGUUACCCUAGGGAUAACAGCGCAAUCCUCUUCCAGAGCCCAUAUCUACAAGAGGGUUUACGACCUCGAUGUUGGAUCAGGACAUCCUAACGGUGCAGCCGCUGUUAAGGGUUCGUUUGUUCAACG